rnacentral:rRNA from 1 species
UACGGAGGGUGCAAGCGUUAUCCGGAUUUACUGGGUUUAAAGGGUGCGUAGGCGGGCCAUUAAGUCAGUGGUGAAAGCUCCGAGCUUAACUCGGAAACUGCCAUUGAUACUAUUAGUCUUGAAUUCGGUCGAGGUUGGCGGAAUGUGUCGUGUAGCGGUGAAAUGCUUAGAUAUGACACAGAACACCGAUUGCGAAGGCAGCUAGCUAGACCGACAUUGACGCUGAGGCACGAAAGCGUGGGGAUCAAACAGG